AUGUUCCAUACCAAGGAAGAGAGAGUGAAAAUAACCACGCACAGAACCAUGUGGCGGAGGGGUACACCGCUGCCACGGCGCCUCGUCGGAAUCAAAUGUCUUGUGCUUCUCCUGCUCUCCACCAUGGGGGUGACGCGCGCACAUGACGGAGAUGAGAGCGCUCUCGAAGCAUUCAAGGAAAGGAUUUCAGACCAUUCAAGGGUGCUGUCCUCCUGGAACAGGAGCAUCAGUUACUGCGCCUGGGAGGGCGUCACGUGCAGCCAGAGGCACCGAUCGAGGGUGGUCGCUCUGGACCUCAACUCCCAGGGGCUCGCCGGCACCAUCUCCCCUGCCGUCGGCAACCUCACGUUCCUCCGCACACUCAACUUGAGCCUCAACCCCUUGUACGGUAAGAUCCCUCCCAGCAUCGGCUCCCUCCACCGCCUCAGGUACCUUGGCCUGCAAGGGAACAUGCUCACCGGUGCGAUCCCAAGCAACAUUAGCCACUGCAGCAGCCUCAGGAAGAUGGUAAUUGCUGACAAUAAGGGGUUGCAAGGAAGCAUACCUUCUGAGAUCGGCAACAUGCAAUCGCUACGUCUUGUACACCUAUACAACAACAGCCUCACCGGGACCAUCCCGUCAUCACUAGGGAACCUCUCCCAGGUGUCCAUCUUGUCCCUGGCAGCUAACCAUCUCCAGGGAUCGAUCCCUGAGGGCAUUGGGAACAUCCCAUCUCUCGAGUUCCUUCAGCUGGCCAUAAAUAACCUCUCAGGUUUGUUUCCUCUUUCGCUGUACAACCAGUCAUCUCUGCACAGAUUUUAUGUGGCGGACAACAACCUGCACGGCCGUCUACCAGCUGAUCUGGGGAGAGGCCUUCCAAACAUGCAACAGUUUGCAAUGGGGGACAAUCAAUUUACUGGAGUUGUGCCUCCAUCACUAACUAAUCUCUCCAGACUCCAGGUUUUUGAUGCUCCAAAUAACGGAUUCAGUGGGGUUGUCCCUUCGGAGUUGGGAAGAUUGCAGUAUCUUAGAUGGUUUUGUCUGGAUGUGAACAAGUUCGAGGCAAACAAUGAGCGAGAAUGGCAAUUCCUUAUUUCUUUGACAAACUGUAGCAGGCUGCGACUGAUGUCUAUAGAACAAAACAGGUUCUCGGGGCAAUUGCCAACCUCAGUGUCUAACUUAUCCACAAACAUCCAAGAGCUAAGUAUUUUGGCCAACAAUAUAUCUGGUACUAUCCCAUCAGAUAUUGGAAAUUUCAUAGGUCUGGAGGUGCUUCAUCUUGGUCACAACUUACUCACCGGGAUAAUUCCUGAUAGCAUAGGGAAGCUUACACAAUUGAAGGAGCUACACCUGGGCUACAACAACUUAUCAGGAUUUAUCCCGUCCUCCAUUGGAAACCUCACCGGUCUGUCUAAGUUUGAUGCAAGCUUCAACAGCUUGGAGGGACCAAUCCCAUCAAGCAUCGGAAAAUUGACCAAACUUUCACAACUAGAUCUAUCGAGAAACCAUCUUAAUGGCACAAUUCCAAGUGAAAUUAUGCAACUAUCAUCGAUCUCAAUAUAUUUGGCUUUGUCUUACAACUUGCUGAAGGGACCUCUUCCUUCAGAAGUUGGUAAGUUGGUAAAUCUCGGGCAGCUUCUUCUAUCCGGGAACCAACUGUCUGGUAAAAUACCUGCAACCAUUGGUGGCUGCGUAGUCCUGGAAACCCUCUUAAUGGAUGGCAAUUCAUUCCAAGGAAACAUCCCUCCCAGUUUGAAGAACAUAAAAGGGCUUACUGUGCUGAAUUUGACGAACAACAAACUGAAUGGAAGCAUUCCAGGGGACCUGAGCAAUAUUACCAGCUUGGAGGAAUUGUAUCUUGCACAUAAUGAUCUAUCAGGGCCAAUACCUGAACUCCUAGGUUAUUCAACAUCACUGUUCCACCUCGACAUAUCCUUCAACAAUUUACAAGGUGAGGUACCAAAAGAAGGGAUUUUCAGGAAUUUAACUGGACUAUCAAUUGUUGGCAACAAUGAGUUAUGUGGUGGAAUACCACAGAUUCAACUGCCAAAAUGCCCAAGCUCCAAGAAAGGCUUGCCAAAGUCUCUGAGAAUAGUUGUCCCUACAACAGGAGGUAUCCUGGUCUUCCUUGCAGCUCUUGCUUUAGCUGGAUUUCUGUACACAAAAUUUAAGCCAGGGUUGAGGAAAGAACUACGGUCACCUCAGACGACCAAGAUUGACCUUCCAAUGGUUUCAUACAACGACAUACUCAAAGCAACGGAUGGGUUUUCAGAAGCCAAUCUGCUCGGGAAGGGAAGAUAUGGUACUGUAUACAAAGGUACUCUAGAAAAUUUCGCUGCGGCUGUGAAGGUGUUUAAUCUGCAGCAAUCCGGAUCCUACAAAAGCUUCCAGGAUGAAUGUGAGGCACUAAGAAGAGUUAGGCACCGUUGCCUUGUAAAAAUCGUCACGUGCUGUUCAAGCAUCAACCACCAAGGCCAAGACUUCAGAGCACUAGUCUUCGAGCUCAUGCCUAAUGGCAGCUUAGACCGCUGGAUCCACCCAGACAUUGAAAGUCAAAACAGAAAUGGAACACUCAGCUUGUCACAGAGGUUAGAUAUCGCUGUUGACCUUGUGGAUGCUUUAGACUAUCUACACAAUGGAUGCCAACCUUCCAUCAUCCAUUGCGAUCUCAAGCCAAGCAACAUUCUUCUCACUGGUGACAUGAGGGCUCGUAUUGGGGAUUUUGGUAUCGCUAGAAUUCUUAAUGAAGGUGGAAGCGAAGCUUCUGCAAAUUCCCUUAGCUCCAUCAGAAUAAGAGGAUCCAUUGGAUAUGUUGCUCCAGAAUAUGGAGAAGGGCCUUCCGUAUCAACUUAUGGUGAUGUGUACAGCCUCGGGAUCACCUUGAUCGAGAUGUUUACCGGACGGUGCCCGACAGAUGAUAUGUUCAGAGAUGGGUUAACCCUGCAAUACUUCGCAAAGUCAGGUGGUAUUCCUGGGAAUGUCAUGGAGAUAGCAGACUCCAACAUCUGGCUGCAUGAUGAAGCAAAUGAUUGCAAUGAUACAGAACAUGUAACUAUAGCUAAGGAAUGUUUGGCUGCCGUUAUCAAGCUUGGUGUCUUAUGCUCAAAGCAAUUGCCUAGAGAGCGGCUGUCAACAAGUGAUGCUGCUGCAGAGAUGCAUGCCAUCAGAGAUGCCUACCUCGGUAAUAGUGAUGAAGUGAUGUCGAACUAUAUGAAGAAACCACUACCAUAUGCUGAUUAG
rnacentral:rRNA from 1 species